rnacentral:lncRNA from 1 species
AAUCCACCAUUUCUAACUCUAUGAGAUCGGCUUUGGUGUUGCGACCUUGGACUGAAACUAUACAACCUCUAUAGACUCUGGUGACUUUCAUUGACUCGCCAACUGGAGUAGAUACUAGGAAUGGCUCACUAAGUUGUUCAGGUUCUAGUCCGAGUUUAAUUGCAAAGUAUGGAGUCAUAUAUGAAAAUGUUGAACCUGGAUCCAUUACGGCAUAAGCAUUAUGGGAGCAGACUAAAAGUAUACCUAUAAUAACUUCUGCAGAUUCCUAUGCACUCUGACGAUCAAGUGUAGCAAACAAACGGCUUUGUCCCCCUCCCUGAGUAACUCGGUCUGCACUUCUGCCUACUCCAUGCCCAGUCUGAUUAUGAGAACAACGAGCCUGAGGUGGUGCAGCUGCAGUAGCUGAGGAACUAAAACGACGAGUUGAUCCACUACCGAAAUUACGUCGCAACUUCGGGCAAUUGGUCUAUUCAAAUUCUUCCCAAGUAGGUGGAUCAUCAUCUUCAUCUUCUCCUUUUCCCGCAUCUUAAACCAAGCGCCAGCCACAUCUCUAAGCUUGUAAGCAGCUAGCUCCAGAGCUUUGUCAUCAAAUACUUUCAUCACUCGGAGGGCUUUCUUAACACCCUCCAUCCAUAACAU